rnacentral:miRNA from 1 species
UCUUUCUGCAAACGCCUUGGA